rnacentral:lncRNA from 1 species
GCCCAUGUUUUCUCACAUUAAAAUUCAAUAUGCAAUCCAAUUAAAUAAAUGAAAACAUUCAAAUAUGUCCUCACAAUUUUUUAAAGAAAAUACAAAGCCAAAAAAAACAGUCAAAAGAAAUAUAAACAUGUCAAAAGAAACCAUUCCAGAAAUCAGACAUCAUCAGACGCAGGUUGAAAUCUGAAUCUGAAUUCUGUUUCGAUUCCGCAGAGAACUGAUCAAGAAGUCCAUCUUCUAAAUCAUCCAAAGUAAUUGUAACCAAGCUUUCAGCUUCACCCCAAUCAAACCCAAGUCUAUGAUCCAAAUUCUCUCUAGCAUUUUCAAGCAAAGGAACCACCAGACCUCCAUUCAUCUCCUUUCUCUGCUUCUCUGUCGUUCUCGCUUCGAUUAGAUCCGCAACAGCUUCCACUGUGCAGGUAGGAUGUAACUUGAAUCCAUAGAAAGGGCUAGUUUCAGACUGAUCAUUCAUUUUUAUGUGCAGAAUUUGAGCCAGCUCCAAUGGAUUGAAAUUUUCAAAGUAAAAAAAUUUGGUCACUCUCCUGCAGAAACCUUCAUUUGAUGCUAUGACUCGCUUCAUUGGAUCCUUGUAGCCAGCAAAGACAACAACAAUCCUCCCACUGUCCAUUACUGACAUUAUUUCUUCCAAAGCUUCCAAUCCGUAAUCCUUAUCGUCCGAUUUCUGAUUUGGUAUCAACCUGUAUGCCUCAUCGACAAACAAAAUCCCCCCCUCAGCUUCUUUUAUCUGUAUACAAUGAAUCCAAUUCCUCUCCAAUUAAACAUGGCUAAAUUCUUAAAUCCUUCUUUGUUUAGAA